ensembl:lncRNA
GGGCAGGCGGUUUGGAGGGUGUUUGUGCGCGUGUGGGGCGGUGCUUUGCUGGUCUCGGUGGCGCUGGUGAUUCCCGCGGGCCUUGGCGCCCUGAAGUGGAGGGAGAGGGACGGGACCUGCCCGCCAGCGGGAGUCCUGGCGGCGCCGCGCGGUGGCCGUGUGCCCUCGUUACCACGUAGAGGGUGAUAGGGUUGAAGCAACAGGAUGAGAGAUCUCAAGCAUGCUACUGAAUGUUGUGCUCUGACAAAACGCCAUAGCUUCCUUUAUCAAGACAGCUGUGUUUUUAAAUAAAUGAUCUUAAUUUGGCCUGCAGAAGGAUUAUGCCUGAUACUCAAAUGUAAUACCUUGAAAGGUCACCUUGACUUCCUCAAGAAGUUUAAUUCAAGGCAUUCAGGAUGCCAGACCAGAAGGCCUCCCAGACUGAGAUCAUCUAGAAACUCCAUUCUAUCUGAACUACAGAAAGUCUAGGGAAGAAAAAAAAAAAACUUUAGCAGGGUAAACUCUGCAACAAGCUUAAAAGAAUUCCAAGAGCAAGAUGUAAAUUCUUCAGCCAAUGGAGUUUGUGGCAUAUAUUCAACAUCUAUUGUUACAACUAAGACAGACUGAUCUGAGCUGAAAAUAUCAAUAACAGGAAUUGCUGGAACAACAUAAGCCUGCUUUGUAUGCACAUCUUGUGCUGCUGGGGAGCCACUCCUACCUCACAAUACAGUUUGAUUUGACACCAAGUUCUCCAGCAGAAAGGAGACACAUCUGACAGAAGGGCAGCCCAUGGAAAGACAAAACUGUCAAAGAAAGAAGGAAGCGAAAACAAUCCAACUGAGCAUUUCCUUGCAAUGCAUCCUUUCCCUGGGAAGACAAGAAACUGCAUUUCAGCUGCUGUAGAAAAAGCACAAGCCAGAUGUGGAGUUCAAUGCCAGUGCAUCGACUAACAGGACAAAAAAUGUGCACAGGAGGUGUCAAACCCCAGAAUGCAGCAGCACAGAGGAGCUGAAGGGGUUCUUUCUUCUCCUCCACUUGGGUGCUUCAAGCAGUGGAGCUAAUGCAGCUCCAUUGGCGGAGCAGAUGAGCAUGGCAUCCUUAAUGCCCUGUGGCCUAGCAGAUUAAUUGUGCAACCAUUGUCCUCCCACUUUUCCUGCAUAUUAAAUUGGAGCUAAUGAGUCAUUAUCUGUGGUCUGCUUGGAAGAAUGAGUUGUUUGUUCAGCACUUUGAAAUCGUAAAUCAAUAUAUACUGCAAACGUGAUGUGCCGCCUACAACUUCAUUCAACAGAGAGCAGCAUUGGACAGGAAAAAAUGAUGUAUCACCCUGGCUCUUAAUGCUGCCCUCUGCAGAAUCUGGUGAUGCGGGUGACUCCUGGGUGUCUGUCUGGAGAGCAAGUAUGAUGGAAGGGGGCUUAUUCACCAUCUCCUGUGGGCAAAGUGAGCAAACCUAAAUGAAGUAAGAGGAAGAUAUAAAUGGUGAUCACCUGAAUCAUUCUGACAUCCAUAGAGUUACUAUUCAUUUAGUAAGCCAAUGACACAAGUAUUUCCUUUGGUACUCCAAGGUUCUCUCCAGGCAUAUCAGGCAGUAUUUUCAGACAAGCACUUAAAAAAAAAAAAAAAAAAAAAAGGGAAAAAAGUCACAUUCUGUGGCUACUUCUUAGGAUUGCCUUAAAUGUUGUCUUUAGAAUUCAAGGAAGUUUAGGAAAAAAAUCUAUUUUUCUUUCUGACAUAGCAUUUUCUGAGAUAGGUUGCAGCAGCUUUCAGGGCUCCCUGGAGUGCAGCAUUUUGAGAGAUAUAGCAUUUCCAGGCUCUGUUCAGCGCCACACCACCCCCUGUGCUUCUCCUCCUUCACUCCAGGGUUCUUCCCAGGGAUGCUCUGAAAAUAGAGAAGAU